rnacentral:rRNA from 1 species
AGAGUUUGAUCCUGGCUCAGAUUGAACGCUGGCGGCAGGCCUAACACAUGCAAGUUGAGCGGCAGCGGGAAAGUAGCUUGCUACUUUUGCCGGCGAGCGGCGGACGGGUGAGUAAUGCCUGGGGAUCUGCCCAGUCGAGGGGGAUAACUACUGGAAACGGUAGCUAAUACCGCAUACGCCCUACGGGGGAAAGCAGGGGACCUUCGGGCCUUGCGCGAUUGGAUGAACCCAGGUGGGAUUAGCUAGUUGGUGAGGUAAUGGCUCACCAAGGCGACGAUCCCUAGCUGGUCUGAGAGGAUGAUCAGCCACACUGGAACUGAGACACGGUCCAGACUCCUACGGGAGGCAGCAGUGGGGAAUAUUGCACAAUGGG